rnacentral:rRNA from 1 species
UACGGAGGGAGCUAGCGUUGUUCGGAAUUACUGGGCGUAAAGCGCACGUAGGCGGCUUUGUAAGUUAGAGGUGAAAGCCUGGAGCUCAACUCCAGAAUUGCCUUUAAGACUGCAUCGCUUGAAUCCAGGAGAGGUGAGUGGAAUUCCGAGUGUAGAGGUGAAAUUCGUAGAUAUUCGGAAGAACACCAGUGGCGAAGGCGGCUCACUGGACUGGUAUUGACGCUGAGGUGCGAAAGCGUGGGGAGC